UUGAAUUAUGUUUUCUAGAUGGGUUGUAGCUGGCUCUUCGGAGCAUGUGCACGCCUGCCUGGAUUUCAUUUUCAUCCACCUGUGCACCUAUUGUAGUCUCUGUCGGGUAUUGAGGAAGUGGUCAGCCUAUCAGCUCUUGCUGGAUGUGAGGAUCUGCAGUGUGAAGGCACGGCUGUUCUCUACUUGGCCAUGGAAUCUUUGUCUUGCCGGAGUCUAUGUCUAUCACUAUACCCUGUAGAAUGUCAUUGAAUGUCAUUACAUGGGCUUUCAUGCCUAUGAAAAUUGUAAUACAACUUUCAGCAACGGAUCUCUUGGCUCUCGCAUCGAUGAAGAACGCAGCGAAAUGCGAUAAGUAAUGUGAAUUGCAGAAUUCAGUGAAUCAUCGAAUCUUUGAACGCAUCUUGCGCUCCUUGGUAUUCCGAGGAGCAUGCCUGUUUGAGUGUCAUUAAAUUCUCAACCCUCUUAUACUUUGUUGUAAAAGUGGGCUUGGACUGUGGGGGCUUGCUGGCCACUUAUCAAGGUCAGCUCCUCUGAAAUGCAUUAGCGGAACCGUUUGCGAUCUGCCACAAGUGUGAUAGAUUAUCUACACUAGCGAGGGGAUUGCUCUCUGUGUUGUUCAGCUUCUAAUCGUCUCCGGACAAUUUUCUGAACGCU
rnacentral:rRNA from 1 species